CGCGUAUAGAAUCUGCCUUACACUGAGGGAUAGCCUUUGGAAACGAAGAUUAAUACCUCAUGGUAUCAUUUUAUGGCAUCAUAUAAUGAUUAAAGGUUACGGUGUAAGAUGACUAUGCGUCCUAUUAGCUAGUUGGUAAGGUAACGGCUUACCAAGGCAACGAUAGGUAGGGGCCCUGAGAGGGGGAUCCCCCACACUGGUACUGAGACACGGACCAGACUCCUACGGGAGGCAGCAGUGAGGAAUAUUGGACAAUGGAGGCAACUCUGAUCCAGCCAUGCCGCGUGAAGGAUGACUGCC
rnacentral:rRNA from 1 species